GGUAUGGCUCAGUUGGUUAGAGUGCCAGGUUGUGGCCCUGGAGGUCAUGGGUUCGAAUCCCAUUAC
rnacentral:tRNA from 1 species